rnacentral:rRNA from 1 species
UACGAAGGGGGGCUAGCGUUGCUCGGAAUCACUGGGCGUAAAGCGCACGUAGGCGGAUUGCUAAGUCAGGGGUGAAAUCCUGGAGCUCAACUCCAGAACUGCCUUUGAUACUGGCAACCUUGAGUCCGGGAGAGGUGAGUGGAACUGCGAGUGUAGAGGUGAAAUUCGUAGAUAUUCGCAAGAACACCAGUGGCGAAGGCGGCUCACUGGCCCGGUACUGACGCUGAGACGCGAAAGCGUGGGGAGCAAACAGG